rnacentral:rRNA from 1 species
UACGAAGGGGGCUAGCGUUGCUCGGAAUCACUGGGCGUAAAGCGCACGUAGGCGGCUUUUUAAGUCAGGGGUGAAAGCCCGGAGCUCAACUCCGGAAAUGCCAUUGAAACUGUGAGACUUGAGGACGAGAGAGGUGAGUGGAAUUCCCAGUGUAGAGGUGAAAUUCGUAGAUAUUGGGAAGAACACCGGUGGCGAAGGCGGCUCACUGGCUCGUAUCUGACGCUCAGGCGCGACAGCGUGGGGAUCAAACAGG